rnacentral:rRNA from 1 species
AACGAACGCUGGCGGUAUGCUUAACACAUGCAAGUCGAACGGUCUACCUCCUGCUUGCAGGAGACUAGAUAGUGGCAAACGGGUGAGUAAUGUAGAGGAAUCUACCUAGCAGUACGGAAUAACCCUGGGAAACCAGAGCUAAUACCGUAUACUACCGGCCUAGCCGGGAAAGAUUUAUCGCUGUUAGAUGAGCCCCUAUCGGAUUAGCUUGUUGGUAGGGUAAUGGCCUACCAAGGCGACGAUCCGUAGCUGGUCUGAGAGGAUGAUCAGCCACACUGGGACUGCGACACGGCCCAGACUCCUACGGGAGGCAGCAGUGGGGAAUAUUGGACAAUGGGCGCAAGCCUGAUCCAGCAAUACCGCGUGAGUGAUGACGGCCUUCGGGUUGUAAAGCUCUUUUAGUAGGGAAGAUAAUGACGGUACCUACAGAAAAAGCACCGGCAAACUUCGUG